rnacentral:rRNA from 1 species
UACGAGGGGGGCAAGCGUUGCUCGGAAUCACUGGGCGUAAAGGGUGCGUAGGCGGGUCUUUAAGUCAGGGGUGAAAUCCUGGAGCUCAACUCCAGAACUGCCUUUGAUACUGAAGAUCUUGAGUUCGGGAGAGGUGAGUGGAACUGCGAGUGUAGAGGUGAAAUUCGUAGAUAUUCGCAAGAACACCAGUGGCGAAGGCGCUCACUGGCCCGAUACUGACGCUGAGGCACGAAAGCGUGGGGAGCAAACAGG